UUCCGGUUGAUCCUGCCGGAGGUCACCGUUAUCAGGAUUCGAUUUAGCCAUGCAAGGCGCGAGUCAUCUGGACUCGCCGAACUGCUCAGUAACACGUAGCUAAUCUACCCUCAAGUGGAGGAUAAUCCCGCAAAAGUGGGGCUAAUACUUCAUAGCUGUUAAAUGCUGGAAUGCUUUAACAGCAAAAGCUCUGGCGCUUGAGGAUGAGGCUGCGACCUAUCAUGGCUGUUGUGAGUGUAAAAUACUCACAAACCUAUAACGGGUACGGGCCAUGAAAGUGGAAGCCCGGAGAUGCAUUCUGAGACAUGAAUGCAGGUCCUACGGGACGCAGCAGGCGCGAAAACUUUCCAAUGCCUUAACGGGUGAGAAGGGAAUCCUGAGUGGUUAUACACUGUAUAACCUUUUAUCUUGCCUAAAGAGCAAGGUGAAUAAGUGGUGGGUAAGACGGGUGGCAGCCGCCGCGGUAAUACCCGCGCCACGAAUGGUGAUCGCUUUUAUUGGGUCUAAAGCCUCCGUAGCCGGUUUAGCAAGUUCUUGGUGAAAUCCAACAGCUAACUGUUGGGCGUGCUGAGAAUACUACUAAACUUGAGAUUGGGAUAGGGUAAAGGUAUUCCACGUGUAGGGGUUAAAUCCAUUAAUCCGUGGAGGACCACCGGUGGCGAAGGCGUUUACCUGGAACAAAUCUGACGGUGAGGGACGAAAGCUAGGGGAGCAAACGGGAUUAGAUACCCCAGUAGUCCUAGCUGUAAACGAUGCCCGCUUGAUGUUGCAAACUUUACGGGAGCUUGCGGUGUCGGAGUGUAGAUGUUUAGCGGGCCACCUGGGGAGUACGGCGCAAGGUUGAAACUUA
rnacentral:rRNA from 1 species